rnacentral:rRNA from 1 species
UUGAAACAUCAGUUCCUGUAUAAUCACUGAAGUUAGGCAACAUUGACCCUGGUCAGUACCUAGGUGGGUGACCACUUGGGAAUACCAGGUGCUGUAU